rnacentral:rRNA from 1 species
GUGGGGAAUAUUGCACAAUGGGGGAAACCCUGAUGCAGCGACGCCGCGUGAGUGAAGAAGUAAUUCGUUAUGUAAAGCUCUAUCAGCAGGGAAGAAAAUGACGGUACCUGACUAAGAAGCCCCGGCUAACUACGUGCCAGCAGCCGCGGUAAUACGUAGGGGGCAAGCGUUAUCCGGAUUUACUGGGUGUAAAGGGAGCGUAGACGGAAGCGCAAGUCUGAUGUGAAAAUCCGGGGCCCAACCCCGGAACUGCAUUGGAAACUGUGAUUCUAGAGUGUCGGAGAGGCAAGUGGAAUUCCUGGUGUAGCGGUGAAAUGCGUAGAUAUCAGGAGGAACACCAGUGGCGAAGGCGGCUUGCUGGACGAUGACUGACGUUGAGGCUCGAAAGCGUGGGGAGCAAACAGGA